UGAGGAAUAUUGGUCAAUGGGCGAGAGCCUGAACCAGCCAAGUAGCGUGCAGGAUGACGGCCCUAUGGGUUGUAAACUGCUUUUAUAUGGGAAUAAAGUGAGGGACGUGUCCCUUAUUGCAUGUACCAUAUGAAUAAGGACCGGCUAAUUCCGUGCCAGCAGCCGCGGUAAUACGGAAGGUCCAGGCGUUAUCCGGAUUUAUUGGGUUUAAAGGGAGCGUAGGCUGUUUGUUAAGCGUGUUGUGAAAUGUAAGAGCUCAACUUUUAGAUUGCAGCGCGAACUGGCAGACUUGAGUGCGCACAACGUAGGCGGAAUUCAUGGUGUAGCGGUGAAAUGCUUAGAUAUCAUGAAGAACUCCGAUUGCGAAGGCAGCUUACGGGAGCGCAACUGACGCUGAAGCUCGAAGGUGCGGGUAUCGAACAGG
rnacentral:rRNA from 1 species